GAAUGUAGCUCAGGGGUAGAGUGCACGCCUAGCAUGCAUAAGACCUUAGGUUCGAUCCCAACAUCA
rnacentral:tRNA from 1 species